GCGUCGCCGCCGGAGUAAAAAAAUUUGCUCCGAUUUAGAAAUUUUUUGCACUUUUAAACAUCCAUUUUCCUGCUUUACGUGAAUCCGAGCUUAGAUUUUUGAAAACAAGUCCCAAACGGAGUAGAUCUGAGUUUGAAAUUAAAUUUUUUUUUUACAAAGAAAGCACAAAAACGUGAAAGAGAAAGUUUCUACAUCUUUACCUCGAGUUGAAUCCGUCACGAACUGUUCUUUUUGCUCCAACCUGCUCCUUUUGCUCCGGUCCGACGCGUCCCUUUCUUCUUCGCGACCUCACGCAGAUUCCAAGUUUGGAUCUGCUCUCUCUCCGAUUCGGUUCCGGCGCGUCCCUUUUGCUCCGGUUCGGUUUGCUUUGUUUUGUUAUGUGUUGAUUUGAGUUGGUUUUAUGGAUUUGUGGUGUUUAUGUUGAUUUUCUGGUAAAAAAUUAUGAGGAUGAAUGUUCAUGAAUAUUCAUGAAUGUUGUUGGUGAUGUUCAUCUUUUUUGUGAUUUUUUUGGUGUUUGAUUCGUAUUUGGAAAGAGAGAGAAAAGGGAACAGUGUUUUCUAUGUGAUGGGGACCAAUCUGACCCGUUUUCUGACUCUGACGCGGCUACAGUGUUUUUUUCUGGCCCAUUUCCCAAUGAUUGACAGUGUAUUUAUAGUGACAAACUAGGGUUGGCUCUGGUACAAAUCAAUGACCAAAAUGCCCCUGCAGCUGAGACUUGGAGAAAAAGACUUUAACAAAUAAAUAAAUAAAUAAAUAAAACAAAAACAAAAUGAAUAAAAAAUAAAAAAGAGGAAGGAAGAAAGUCACUCACGUGACUUUCAUUUCUUUGUUUUUUUUUUCUAAAAAA
rnacentral:lncRNA from 1 species